ACGGAAUAAUUGUUGGAAACGGCAACUAAUACCGUAUACGCCCUACGGGGGAAAAAUUUAUUGCUAUUAGAUGAGCCUAUAUUAGAUUAGUUAGUUGGUGAGGUAAAGGCUUACCAAGACAAUGAUCUAUAGCUGAUCUGAGAGGAUGAUCAGCCACACUGGAACUGAGAUACGGUCCAGACUCCUACGGGAGGCAGCAGUGGGGGAAUUACUUGGGACAAUGGGGCGAAAGCCUGAUCCAGCCAUGCCGCAUGAGUGAAGAAGGGCCUUUGGGUUGUAAAGCUCUUUUAGUGAGGAAGAUAAUGGNCGGUACUCACAGAAGAAGUCCUGGCUAACUCCGUGCCAGCAGCCGCGGUAAUACGGAGAGGGCUAGCGUUAUUCGGAAUUAUUGGGCGUAAAGGACGCGUAGGCUGAUUAAUAAGUUAAAAGUGAAAUCCCGAGGCUUAACCUCGGAAUUGCUUUUAAAACUAUUAAUCUAGAGAUUGAAAGAGGAUAGAGGAAUUCCUGAUGUAGAGGUGAAAUUCGUAAAUAUUAGGAGGAACACCAGUGGCGAAGGCGUCUAUCUGGUUCAAAUCUGACGCUGAGGCGUGAAGGCGUGGGGAGCAAACAGGAUUAGAUACCCUGGUAGUCCACGCUGUAAACGAUGAAUGUUAAAUAUGGGAAGUUUACUUUCUGUAUUACAGCUAACGCGUUAAACAUUCCGCCUGGGGACUACGGUCGCAAGAUUAAAACUCAAAGGAAUUGACGGGGACCCGCACAAGCGGUGGAGCAUGUGGUUUAA
rnacentral:rRNA from 1 species